CGUGAAUGAUUACACAGGAUAUCUGACAUUUGAUGAGCAAUGUGUUCUACCCUUUUGACAUAAUGUACUGGAGUCGUUCUCUUUUUAUCGAAGAUGUAGUA